CUUUCUAAAACUACUGGAAAAUGGGAUUGGAGGGAAAACUUUUGAUUUAAUCAGCACCAUGUAUAAAAACAAUACAUGUGCUGUAAAAAUUGGGAAUAAUCGAACAGAAUUUUUUCUCUCAACAACGAGGAGUUAGACAAGGUUGCCCAUUGAGCCCCACUCUGUUUAACAUUUAUAUCAAUGAAUUAGGCAAAGAAUUAAACAAUUCGACUGCCCCCGGCCCAAGCCUAACUGAAUCAGAAAUCAAAUGUCUCCUCUAUGCAGAUGAUUUAGUCAUUCUGUCAAAAACAAAAGAGGGACUACAACAGCUCCUCGACAUCAUAGAGACAUUCAGUCAAACAUGGGCUCUUAAAAUCAACCUCGCAAAAACAAAAAUAAUGAUUUUUCAAAAGAGACCCAGGUGUAAGGAACAUAAACACACUUUCAGAGCGGGAAACCAGGUCCUCCAACACACCCAUGAAUACAGCUAUCUGGGACUAAAAAUCAGCUCAACAGGGAACUUCAAUCUGGCUGUGAAUGAACUGAAAGCAAAGGCACUGAGAGUCUUCUACAUGAUCAAAAAUACAAUUCAAUUUGAAAUUCCAAUUCAAACCUGGCUAAAAAUCCUAAAAGCAAUAAUCGAACCAAUCGCUCUUUAUGGCAGUGAGAUAUGGGGACCCCUAAAAACCCAAGAUUUCUCCAAAUGGGAAAAAGAAGAAAUUGAAAUUAUGCAUACCCAAAUUUGUAAAAGCAUCUUAAAAGUUAACAGAGCAACCCCAAACAACUCGUGCAGAGCUGAAUUAGGACAAUACCCAUUAUUAAUUAGUAUUCAAAAGAGAGCUGUGAAAUUCCAGCAGCACCUGAGAUGCAGUGAUGCGAGCUCUUACCAGACUGAAGCCCUGCAGUGGCAGGAGCAGAACCUGCAGAAGAGUGCCCUUCUACAGCUGGUGCUCAAACUACAGCCAAACCAGCACAGCACACUCCGGCCCAACCACAUCACACAGCUACAAAAACACAAUUACAUUGCUUACUGGAAAGAUGCCACUAAAUUACAAAAGAAGAUGGAGCUGUAUUUAGACCUAAACAGAGACUACAAACCAGCAGAAUACCUGAGCUGUGUAAAAGAUCACAAAUUAAGAAAGACACUGACAAAAUACAGACUGAGUGAUCACUGUCUGGCUAUAGAGAGAGGACGACACAGACAGAGAUGGCAGCCGCGAGAACAGAGACUGUGUUCACUGUGCUCACAGAAAGAGCUGGAAACAGAGGAACAUUUCUUACUGCACUGUGAUUACUAUCACAACAUUAGAGCUGCAUAUUUCCCCAAAUUCCUACAAAUUAAACCACAUUUUAUGGCAUUACCAAAUACAGAAAAAUUAAGUAACAUUUUAGGGGAAGAUUCCAAAACGAUCCCAACAGCAGCAAGAUAUGUAUCAGCCUGUCACAAACUAAGACUGUCAGCCAGUGGACAAAACUGAAGCAAGAGCAUUUCUUACAUGUACUGUUGUACAAUUAUUAUUAUUAUUUUUUUCUUAUUAUUAUUAAUAAUUAAUAGUGUGUGUGUGUGAGAGAGAGAGAGAGAGAGUGUGUGUGUGUGUGAGAGAGAGAGAGAGAGAGUGUAACACCAAUGCUGAGAACGAGGGAGAGAGAGAGA
rnacentral:lncRNA from 1 species